rnacentral:rRNA from 1 species
GACGAACGCUGGCGGCGUGCUUAACACAUGCAAGUCGAGCGGUAAGGCCCUUUCGGGGGUACACGAGCGGCGAACGGGUGAGUAACACGUGAGCAAUCUGCCCUUCUCUUUGGAAUAAGCGUUGGAAACGACGUCUAAUGCCGAAUAUGACUUCCUUUCGCAUGAUGGGGAGUGGAAAGCUCUGGCGGAGAAGGAUGGGCUCGCGGCCUAUCAGCUAGUUGGUGUGGGUAACGGCCCACCAAGGCGACGACGGGUAGCCGGCCUGAGAGGGUGACCGGCCACACUGGGACUGAGACACGGCCCAGACUCCUACGGGAGGCAGCAGUGGGGAAUAUUGGACAAUGGGCGAAAGCCUGAUCCAGCAACGCCGCGUGAGGGAUGACGGCCUUCGGGUUGUAAACCUCUUUCAGCAGGGACGAAGCGAGAGUGACGGUACCUGCAGAAGAAGGACCGGCCAACUACGUGCCAGCCGCCGCGGUAACAC